CUGGUAAAAUAGCACGCUUAUCGAAAGGUAAGGUCGCAAAGUCUUGAAUCUACGGUAUAAUAUAUGCUAUGAUUGUCAGACUGCCGGA
rnacentral:ncRNA from 1 species